CCCGAUUCCUGCCAGCAGUCACAUUCUCUGGUGUGUUCAGCUGGAGAGAACACGCACUGGGUUUUUGGAUUUGGAAGACUGUGCUCUUCUUCUGUUUUCCAUGCAAGAAACCAAUUGCUCUCAUCCCUCUGCCCUGACACUUGCUCGUUCCAGGUAACCUCUGUGUUUCACAUGCUGCUCAGGCUGUCCCAGGAAGAAGAAAUGUGA
rnacentral:lncRNA from 1 species